rnacentral:ncRNA from 2 species
AAUGGCGCCACUAGGGUUGUGA